rnacentral:rRNA from 1 species
AACGAACGCUGGCGGCAUGCCUAACGCAUGCAAGUCGAACGAGACCUUCGGGUCUAGUGGCGCACGGGUGCGUAACGCGUGGGAAUCUGCCCUUGGGUUCGGAAUAACAGCGAGAAAUUGCUGCUAAUACCGGAUGAUGACGUAAGUCCAAAGAUUUAUCGCCCAAGGAUGAGCCCGCGUAGGAUUAGCUAGUUGGUGAGGUAAAGGCUCACCAAGGCGACGAUCCUUAGCUGGUCUGAGAGGAUGAUCAGCCACACUGGGACUGAGACACGGCCCAAACUCCUACGGGAGGCAGCAGUGGGGAAUAUUGGACAAUGGGGAAACCCUGAUCCAGCCAUGCCGCGUGAGUGAUGAAGGCCCUAGGGUUGUAAAGCUCUUUUGUGCGGGAAGAUAAUGACGGUACCGCAAGAAUAGCCCGGCUAACUUCGUGCCAGCAGCCGCGGUAA